rnacentral:rRNA from 1 species
UGCCAGCAGCCGCGGUAAUACUGAAGGUGCAAGCGUUAAUCGGAAUCACUGGGCGUAAAGCGCUCGUAGGUGGCUUUGUAAGUCAGAUGUGAAAGCCCACGGCUCAACCGUGGAAUUGCAUUUGAUACUGCAUCGCUAGAGUAUAGGAGAGGGAAGUGGAAUUUCUGGUGUAGGAGUGAAAUCCGUAGAGAUCAGAAGGAACACCGGUGGCGAAGGCGACUUCCUGGACUAUUACUGACACUGGGAGGGGAAACCGGGGGGGCAAAAAGGAUUAGAUA